GAACCCGUGCGUGCCCUAUGCUUGACGCCAUCUCCUCCGUGCCCUAACCGGCGACGGUUUUCCUUUCUUCCUCACGAUUAAAGCCUCACCGAUCUUUUCCUUCUUCGCCUUCUCAUCUUCUCAUCUUCUCCACGCCGUCCCGUGCCCUAGCCAUGCCUUCUCCUCCUCUUUAUCGCGUCGCCACAGCAGGAGUGGCACUCUCUUCCACUCUUCACCUUUCCUGCCCAAGCGUCGGCGACGUGCGAGCCAUCGCCGGCCGAGCCGCUCCUCAGUCCUAGCGCCGGCCUUCUCCACGUUGUGCCAUAGUUUUCUGACAUCGAUUUCUUCCUCUCUGCCGAGGAUUUCAUCGCUGCCAUCCACUGCGGACUCACACCCGACAGUACCGACACCGCAAUUGCUCUGCCCUAGUGCCGGCAGACGACUGCCCCCUCUGCUGCGAUUUGGUAGCAUUCCAGCCGAGCCCUAGUUUUCGAUCCGUGGUUUCCGAGGGUGUUCGGUUGCUCUGAUGCAACUGGUAGUGACCUAGGUUGGUUCCGGCUACCAUUGUAUCAGUAGCGCUUGUUGUUGACUCUGCUCGAUCCAUGGCUCUUGGUAGCUGUUGAAGAGGAAGUGGUGGUGAGAACAGGUUAUUACUAAAAUUAGGUUGUUGCUUGAAUUAAUAAUCUCUAGUCUAGUUCUGAUAUGUGAUCUUCCUGUUGAUCUCAUCUUGAUCUGUUGAGUAAGUAGGAUUCCAGCCAAGUGUGGUGCGUUAUGGGGAAAACUUCAGCAAGGAGGUCUUGUUGUGGUAUACCUUGUUUCCAGCAGCAAUCAGCUCACCUUGUUCUGUGUUCAACAAUGGUUGAGCUUGAGGACUUUGACUUGAGACGGGCAUCUCGACGUCGGAUUGGACCGGAUACGACCUUUUCU